UAGGGAAUCUUCCACAAUGGACGCAAGUCUGAUGGAGCAACGCCGCGUGAGUGAAGAAGGUUUUCGGAUCGUAAAGCUCUGUUGUUGGUGAAGAAGGAUAGAGGCAGUAACUGGUCUUUAUUUGACGGUAAUCAACCAGAAAGUCACGGCUAACUACGUGCCAGCAGCCGCGGUAAUACGUAGGUGGCAAGCGUUGUCCGGAUUUAUUGGGCGUAAAGCGAGCGCAGGCGGAAUGAUAAGUCUGAUGUGAAAGCCACCGGCUCAACAGUGGAACUGCAUCGGAAACUGUCAUUCUUGAGUGCAGAAGAGGAGAGUGGAAUUCCAUGUGUAGCGGUGGAAUGCGUAGAUAUAUGGAAGAACACCAGUGGCGAAGGCGGCUCUCUGGUCUGCAACUGACGCUGAGGCUCGAAAGCAUGGGUAGCGAACAGG
rnacentral:rRNA from 1 species